UGUGAAAAAUCAUUGGGUCGCAAUCAAAUCCCACACCAAUAACCAUUCUCUCAAAUAUUAGCAGAACCUAAUUGCACACUCGUGCAAUACAUAAAGAAAUUGAGUUACAUAAUUGAGAUUGGAUGCUGACCCACUUCACGAAGAGGAAAAUCAAGGAAUGCACGCUACACACUUUUAAGUGAAAACUCCUAGAAAGUUGGGGGGAAAACAAAGGUUGGACUCAAAAUCAGAAAUUAAAUGGACGCUACACACAAAUGCAAAACUUACAAAGAAAUUAAACCCAAUUGGAGAAGUGAGAACAACUAAGCAAUAAAAGAAAUUUUCUUUCUUUAAAAAAAAAAAAAUAUAUACAUACAAUCCAAAAUUCCUAUUUCACAAUUAAAUCACUGCACAAUAAGAAAUCGGCAGCUUACAGAAAAGAUUCAAAACCCUUCUGCAAUCUGUCGGCACGAGGUGAGCAACCUGUUCACUCUUCCUGCAAUCUUCACGGUGAAUGAAAACCUAUUCCCACAAUUAGGAUUUUGUUUGCCAAGGAUGAAGGAAAUGACAAUCGCAGGAAUAGUAAGAAAUUGGGCAAACCUUGAAGAUGACUUGUAGGACUCAAAUCCACUUAACUUUGAGCAAGCGUUUAGAAAAAUGCCCAAAAUUUGAUGAAAUUAGAGAGUUUUAUCGGCGAGAGGCAAUGGAUUUGAUGCGGUGGCAGAGAAAGAUAAAGGAAAAGAAAGGGUUAAAGUGAUGGGAGAUGGGAGUGCAUGUGAAAAAUUGGACAGACAGUUAAUUAUAAGCAGGCUGAACGCUAUUAUAUUCAAUAAAGUAUAAUGUUUAUUUAAUUAAUAGUAUUUUUAAAAAGAAUGCUAUGAUUAAAUGUUAUAAAAAGUAGAAAAUGUUGUAGUGAAAAAUGCAUAUGACCUGCUGACCUUUUCAAAUCUUCCAAGAGUAGCUGAAAAACUUGAAACUUUCAAGGCCAUUGCAACGUCUUUUUGGCAGACCAUUGCAACACCAUUUUGGCCAGUCUUUAAACCUUCAAGAAACUCGAGAUUCUUCAAAGUUAAAUCUUGGAUCUGGGCAGAUUUUAACAAAAUCUAUAAUGCUAAAUUUGGCAUUACCAAGUAUUGGAGGCAAAUCGAACAAUUUCAAUGAGCUCACGAAAACAAGGGACAACUUUAGUGAGUAUUUCUCUCAUUAAAGUUGAGAGUUUCUCUCUCUAACACAUACAUGACUGAUUGACAGCUUUUUCUUUACUUCUAUGUGCAAUAUAUUUUAUUGAAAUAUGGAGGUGCAAGGGAUAGCAUAUUAAUCGAACCUGUAAUUUCUUGAAGAGCUAAGAUUAUAUCUUCACAAUUUUUAUACUUUUAUUUUAUAAAGAUAACGACAUUUUGAACCAACUUUUCUCUCUAAAAUUCUAACCCAAUAUGGAAUAUUUAUGCUUAUUUUUCAAAUGUUAGUUUGGAUUUUAAACUAAAAACUUCAUAGGAGAGAAAACGUGUUUACAUUGUUUAUGUUGACGUCUAAAUUCAGUCAGGAUCUUUUGGUCAAAGAAGCAAACUCACCUUGGUUACUAAGUUCAAUCAUACUCAAUAGGAAUAUUUGUUGGGGAAAAUUAAUACCCUUCAUGCGCAGCGAAAACACAAAAUGAGCAAAAGAAAAAUGGAAUAUGCUACUUGUACAUAAUGUCAUGUCCAUAACGUUGUCCACUUCUCUCAUAUGGAGGGAGACCUACUUCAAAUAAAUUAUAUUUUAAUUGAAAUGAAUACCCCUCCAUGUGAGGAGGUUGGACAACGUUAUGAACAACCUGAUGUAUAUGAAGUAUUACCCAAAAAAAAAAAAUGAAUUAAAUGUGGUUUGAUAAAUCAUUGAUAAUCACAAGAAAGGAAAAAUCAAUUCAUUAUUCAAAGCAGGAAUAUACAAACUUCAAACGCUCUUUUAGUCUCACGCAAUACAAAGUUAGAACGCAUUAUUGCACGGCUCUAAUUUUUCUUUCCCUCCCUACAAAUUUCUCUCUUUAGCAUUGCUGCCGGAAUUGCAUUCUCUCUCUGCGUGUAUGAAUUGGCUCUCACGCACACACAUCCGGCUUCCUGAAGAUCUCUCUCACAUGAUUUUCUCUCUGUACGUGUUUGAACAUAGUUUUGGGUUUUCGCAGUUAAUUAUUCUCGACAUAGUUGACCAAUGUUAAUCCGAUAAUCAAGUUGCUUAGAUAUUAAUAAUGUGAGAGAAUUUGAGGAUUAUAUUUUCAUAUUUGGAGCGAGAUGAUUUAUGGGUAAAUACAAAGACAGUAAGAGAAUAAGUUCCCGACUGGUGCACUUCAUCACUGUUCAAUCCCUAAAUUUUUAGCACAGACAGUGUUCAGCUAGCUAGGGUUGUGAGAUGAAAACCAACCUUCGUGAGUAAUGAUUUUUUAAAGUUUCUUGGUUGAUCUAAUUUAUAUUUUAUAACACAAAUUCUCUAUUUCUUCGACCUCCAAUUUAUCAUUAGCCUUUGUAGAGCUUCCAUACUGGGUUGAAUGUCCUAUUUCAAGUGUUCAGCCAGGUUCAUCACUCUGUGCCGAACACUCAUGUUUAACCUAUGAAGAAACCAAGACAUAACAUUGACAUUAAGCUCUAUUCGUUUAAAAUCAUUAGUAACAUUUUAAAGAAAUAAUAGUGGACUUUACGAAAUGUGUACUAGUUAUUAAUAUUCUACUAUUUUGAAACCCAUAAGGUACACUAAAGAGAAGAAAUGCUAAAGCUUACCGUGGCUAGAGUAAAUGUUUGAUCUCGUCUGAAUAUAAAAACAAAAUUAUUAGAAAUUUUUUAGAAAAUAAGAACACAUACUUAACAAUGUAAAUAAAAGGGGAAAUUACCAUGAGAAUCAAAUCGUUCAACAAACUAUAGCACGUAGCAAUACUUAAAAAUACGGUGAUUUUCCAUCAUAAAUUCCAAUAAUUUCUCUAGUUCAUAUCAAGUAACAUCACGAGUUCCCCCGAACACUUCAGUACUAGGUAUUGUUCUUCAAAAAGAACACUUGCAAUGAAGUGAUUGAAGGGAACUCAAGGUGAAACCUGAUGCAUUGUACAAACUCAGAUAUAUAUUUCUUUCACUUCAUAAUAUAAUAUAUAAUAUCAAAUGAUAAUGUGUUUGUGGGUAUAUAUAUAGAUCGAGCUUAGUAUAUGUCGUAAGAACUGAGUUUUGGUCACUAUUUAUGGAGGAAGAAAACUCGAAGACGAAAGUACGUAGUAGCCCCCGAACCUAGUCGCAACUGUGGGAUAAAUGAAGAAAUCACAUGUUUGGAGUGUGGAUUCUCCAUUAAAAGAGAGCUGAAAAAGUGGUGGGCGAAAAGAUGCAUGUGGAGGCUAUUCUCACUUUUCCUGUACCUUCCCUUUAUUUUGUCAUUUAACCUGCGUUCUAAAUUAGGUUCAUAGACUCAAAAAUUAUAUAGCAUGUAUAUUUAACCAACAAAAUUUCAAUUACAAUUUUAAUUCGCCAAGUAAAUUAUUUAAGAAAUGAGUUAUUCUAUCUCCCUUUGUCCCUUGAAAUAGUCAAGUGAAAUUGUGUACAUAAUUUACUAAAAGGUCAUGGUUUUAUUAUCACAAGGCAGAUUUGAAGCUAUAAGGACAAACCUUAGUUCGGUCAACACAAGUUGAACAUCGACAUGGAUAUAUAGUUUUCAUCAAUAGAUAUGAGGUUUUUUUUAUCAACUAAUGAUCUCCGGUUUCAUGGAAAACACAUCAUAUUAUGUUGGUUUCGAAUUUUAAAAAUAAUUAUCGUUAGAACUAUAAACCGAAUCACAUCAUAGUCAUUAUAUUGUAACAAGUAAUCGGUGUAAAGAGUCAAAUAAAUAUCAAGAAAAUAAAACUUGAUGCUAAAAGUUGAAAAGUGCAUUCAGAAUAUAUGGAUAAAUACUGAGAAAUACUACAAUUCUUUUCUAUCUCGAACCUGGUCUGUAUUUUGUGUCACAUUAGAAAUGAAGCAUAAUUCCUAGCAAGUCGAUGGUUACAUAUCCUUUGGUUAACAAAGGAUCAUUUAUUCGUAGCAAAUGCUCCCUUACUUAUGAUCUUAUAAUUGGAUAAUGAAGUGUAUGUUGACUGGUUAAUAGACAGGAAUUACACUUCAACAAUUAAUUUGAAAAUUAAUUAGAGUAACAAUGACAUCAAAAUAUAAUAUAAAUCAAUAAAGCACUAAUUUAAGAUAUGUUUACAUGCAACUAGAUACAAGACAAGCAGAUGCAGCCAUUUAUGGAAGGGGAACAGGAAAUAUAAUCAUAAUUAGUCGCCUUUAUAGCUUAAUUAGUAACUUAGUUCGGUGAUUAUUGGACGAUGGGUUGAACUGUUGGUCGAGCUCAAACUCAUAAUCCAGAUUAAGUGAUGGUCAAUGAUUCAAUGCUGGCUUUUCGACGAAUAUCAGAAAUCUUACCAUCCGGGAGAAAGCUGUUUCCAAUAAUGGAGAUGAUAUGGGAUGACCACACAGUAUUUAUCAAGAUUCUCAUUUUUCAAUAUUAUCCACAUUCCCGUCCAGGUUCAUCGCCUGAGGGCUUUUGUCUCUAUUAUCAUUUCUUGACCUAAUUUGAUAUCGAAUCCUUACAUGCUAUCCUAAUGUCCUGGAUGGUUUUACGAACCCUAUUGUACACCUAUGAACCGACGAAGUGCAAAGAGACCUCCACUGGUCUGAGUGCAUUAUAAAUAUCACUGGUGGAACCGUGGAAGGCAAUAGCUUAACAUCAGGUGUACCCUAGAGUUCCCCUGACCGCUUCAUGGGGGAUCCUUGGCUGCUGGACAAAAUGCAGCCAUUUAGCCUUCUGAAGUGUUUGGGGGAACUCCCAGUUUCACUUGAUAUGUGCACAAUUUUCUUUUCUGUGGAGGCAUCUUGGAAAUGUCUUGACAACACAGUUUGCUUAGUUCGGCCAUCAAAUUAAUGCUUCGUGAAAAAGGUAAUAAAAAUAUAUCUUCCUUUAUUUAAGCCUGUUUAAUACUUACAAUUUAGCUACAACUAUUUUUAUGUAUGUGUUGAUUCAUAUGUAUACAUGUUUGUACUUGAAUAUUGGACUGUCGUGGAAAUAUUUUACACCUGAAUCAAGCGCCAAUGACAUAAAUUCGGACAUCUAUAAGUAAUUAAAAAAAAUAAAAAAAAAUUCAUUCUUAAAUCCAAAUCGACUCAAUAACAAUAAAUAUGAAAAAUUGCUCAUCUAAGAAAUUUAAUGAAGACCUAGUCGUACAUGGUAAUGAACUGUGUCGACCAGUUUUACUUUACAAUUCUGAUUCUCCUAGGUCAUUCUUUCGAGGUUAGUAUUAUUAUUGUUGUUAUUAUUAUUAUUAUUAAAGAAAAUAUUGCAUUUGAAUACUUCCAUGAAUUGAAUGCUUCUGUCUCCGGUUGUUAAAAGAAUAGACAAGUAAUAAUUUGUCUUCUAUUUUUUUAUGUCACUAAUGUCAAACUAAAACCAGGGAGUUUCUCAGGUCCUUUCUUCCUCGCUAUGAUUCUGAUCUUUUCCACAUCCUUCCACUUCCCUUGUCUAUGUUGGACAAAAUAACAAAGAGAAUUGCACUUUCAGGCUCCAACUCUGAAAGUCUCUUAGCCAUUUCUUCUCCCAGCUUGGAAUAUGAAUUAUACUUACAAGCCCCAAGCAAAGAAGCCAAAACAGAAGCAGACCUUUCGGAUAUCCCUUGUUAUUCACAAGCUUCGUCCAGCCUGCCUGACCGACAAAGGAGAUCAAUCAUGAUAUUGAUUUGUUCGGGAGUUGGAUUUGGACUAUAGUCUUCAUUCAUCAAUCCAAAAAUCUGCCAUCCUUUUUCAAUUUGACCAGUAUGACUACAAACAGACAAAAAGCAAUUAGAAGUAACUAAUUUUGGCUCAACUUUGUUCUCGAUCAUCUGAUUGAAUAUUUCAAAAGCAGCAUCACUCUCCCCAUUCCUUUCAUACCCAGAAAUCAUAGCAUUCCAGAGUCAGUAGUAGUGCCAAUCGGUUGACUGCUGUUGGAACUCACAAUUUCUUCACUAAGGUCAUUAGUGUAUAGUAGCAAACUCACAAAAAACAUCUGUAAAAAGAGGGAGAUGACUACGAAGUUGAGGAAACGAGCCCGUACUACUGAACAACUUAUUCUCCCAAAAGGUAACAUGAUGUGAAACUCGAAGAGGCUGGUCAAUAUGGUCACAACACCAACUUUUAUGUUCAAUACCAUAUCCUAGAAAACAUCACAAACGAGAACAAGGUUGUAACUUUCUAUGUUCAUGAGGUUGAAGAAGAACAAAACACACACCCCCGAACACCAUAAGCGAGUGACAAUCAGGAAUUUUCCUAUAGAGCAACUCAUAGGGCGACUUAUGGUGUGUGACAGGCGAAGGAAUACGAUUGAUUGUGUAAAUCGCAGUGAGAACAGCUUCAUCUCAAAACGAUUCUGGAAUAGAAGAAGAAAGAUAUGGCGAUGCUUGCGCUCAGCACACCCAUUCUGUUGAAAGGUGCUAGGACAAGAGUGAUGGGGAAUCGUGCCAUUUUGUUUUAAAGUGACAAGAAAAGAGGAUUCUCUAUACUCCUUGGCAUUAUCAGAUCGAAAAAUUUUAAUUGAACGAGAAAAUUGAGUUUGAAUCAUUUUUUGAAAUUCAAUAUAAAUUUGUGGAAGUUUAGAUCGGUUUUGCAUAAGAUAAAGCCAUGUGUACGAGAGUAGUCAUCAAUAAAUAUAACAAAAUAACGUGAUCUCCCCAUAGUAGGAGUAGGAGCUGUAUGUAACAAUGCCUGAAAAAAGUGAUAAACAUGCAGGAAAUAGGCUAUGGUUCAAAAAAUAAUUAGGGAAAUAUUUUUUGAAUUAAGGCCAAACAAAGUACAAAAAUUUUGAAAUUUUUACCAUUUCGGGUAUUAAAAUACUGCAAAAGCAGUCAACAUUGUUGAGUUACUGCAAGGGCAGUUUGAGAAAAUUCAAAAUUUUGAUUUUGUUGCCCAAUUGAGUAAAAAAACAGCCUAACAAGAAACUGAAAUUCCAAUGAUAGAUCAAACCUGCUGUCCAGUUUUAAUUUACCACUAACUUAUGACCUUCAAGCAAAAACUGUAUGAAUAGAACCAACCUCCUUGGAGUCAGAAGAAACAAUCUAGAAUCUGCCUAACAACUGACUAGAAAACGCACUAAACAGUACACAUAACUGGCCGAACACACCUGGACUUGUGACAAAUUCGAUGCAGCGCCAAGUAUUGAAGCUGGAAUCAAUCCUUACCAAAGAGAUGCACCAAGAAACUGGGCACAACGUUGCAAAAAUUAGAAGAACCACUACAACAUAUCAAAUCUUCUAUAGCUUUCGAAAAAUGCUAUCUAUCAUGUUUUAUAGCAUUUUUUCAAAUGUUAUCGUAGGUGGUGUUAUUAAAAAUCAUACCUUUAUUAUAACAUUUUAAAAAUGCUAUCAUAAAGUGUUAUAAAAACUUUUACAUAGCAUUUUAUUAUUGUCAUGGUUUUAAUAUUUAUAGCAUUCUUUUUUAAUUCGAUAGCAUUUUGUUGUCAUAAUUUUAGCUUUAAUAGCAUUUUUUAAUCGUCAUGUUAUGUCUUCUAUAACAUUCUUUUUCAUCAUAAUUUUUAAUAUUUAUAGCAUUUUUGAAUAUAAUUUAUUAUUUUUAAUAGCAUUUUUUGAUUGUAAUAUAUACAUAUUACAUAGCAUUCCUAAUUCUUUGAUUAUCAAAUGUAAAUAUUCAAUACUAAAAACAUGAACAACAAUAACGCGACCAAUAAUAAAUUCCAACACAUUCAUCAAUAUUGUCUUGCAGAAAUACACAAGUGCGGCUAUUCAAUAGAGAAAUCUAAUUAUGUUUCGUCUUCAUAUCAAAUAUUAAUUGCAAUACUUGAAAAGACAAUAUUUCUUGAACUCUUGCAACAAGUUUGGAGAAGACAUCCGUCAAACCAUCUUUUGCAAUGGAGGAGCCUGGAAAUCAUUCAAUAAUAGGGAUGACUAUAUAUUCGAUACCUCACGGGAAGUAAUACUGCCAAGACAUCAGACAAUAUUAACAAGUGACUUUCUUUAUAAUAAGUAAUACAUGGCAAAAAAAGUCAACGAAUAGUAGGGAUGACUAUUCGAUACCUCAUGGGAAGUACGGUCCCAGACAACAGCUUCUUGAUUAGCAUCUGCUAAUGCAAACGUGGAAACAUGGAAACAUCUGGAGAGUAGCGAAUGACAGUGAUUGCCACCCGAUUUUUUUAAGUACUGCCUCUCAGAAUAUCACCUGUGAUGGAAUAUACAUGCAACUUCCCAUCUUGACUGCCCACAAUUGCCCCUGUUCCAUCAGGCGCAAUGGUACAUGCUGUUACAACGAAUCCAAGAUUAGUGGUAGACAAGACAUUUGCACCGCGCAGGAGGACAUCUCCAGUUUCAAUUGACACCAAGGCAAGAUCAGGGGAAAGAAUGGCAAUGCUCAAAUCCUUUGGUUGACUGCCAAUAUCAAUGCAAUCUGCAUUUCCACAUUGGUCUCCAUGUAGAGAAACUCUAGAAAUCUUAGCCAGAGAAAUAAAAACAUUAGAACACGAGACUAAAUUUUUUCGCUUUACAUUGUUCGUAGUAUAACUUCUAUUUCUCUUACUGGACAUAACUAUUCAAAGGAACAACCAUUAUAAGAGGAAGAAAAAAAGCUUAAGAGGCAACUAAAGAAUGUGAAGCUUUACAUGACUUGCCAAUAGCAUAUACUCUGCUCCCAUUCAAAUGGGUAAAAUUAGUUUUCAUAACACAUGGCUUUAUAAAUCUUAGUAAGCCAUAAAGUCAUGAGAUUCUCCAUCAAUUAGCAGUUGAAAGGGGAUCUCUCACCAUUGUUAAGAAAACAUCUCAACCUUUUUCAUAUAAUUAUUUAGAAUUAAUAGCAAUCCUUAUGAGAUUCAUGAGCAUGGGAAGAAGUCUCUAAUUAAUUGCUAACCUUAUGAGAUCACAACUAGUUAAUAUUGAAUCCAAUUUUCCCAAAAUGAGGAGCGCAUUCGAACAAGAAUACCAAAUACAUUUACUGGCAUACAUGAACUGUAAAUGAAUGAAUAAGGCUAUGGAGUUCAAAACAUUCGAAAAAAAGUAGUACUGGAUAUUCAAACGAAACAACAAUACCUUGUUCUCUAGCUUUACUCAACCACUGAAGUGCUCUCUAAAUAUCGUGUAUGUAGUAACAUCAGUCAAGCACUUGCUCUCAACUGCAUAAUCAAACACUUUAUAAGCAUCAGCCAAUGAAUUUUGUUUAAGUUCAAUAUCGUACUCUCUGGUCCUGAUUAACGAUUUUUCAUUUAGUUUGCAACCCGUGAAAUUGAAGAAGAGAAGCAGGCAAAGCACCUGUGAACUAUAUCUUGAAUUCGAAGUUGCCAUUUUCUCUCAUCAAGGAAUCUUAAAGAAAUUCUUGAAGAUGACAAAACCAAAUAGGACCAAUUAAUUUCAAUAUUUUCUUAUGCAGACAAACAGCUUAAUACGUGAGACUGGUACCCUUCUUUCUUGAACUGUGAAUGAAAACACAGAAGAGUGUUGAGGGAGUAACAAAAAUUGCAUAGUACCAUAGAUACCAAACUCAAAAAUACAUAAUAUAAGAUUCUUCAGAUAAGCUACUUGAUCAUCCUUAAUAUGAACAAAACGGGAAAGUAUGAUACGUACCAAUAGAAGACAUAAUCUGCUACAUAAUGGAAUGAGCUUCAAGUUCUGUGCCUGUUGUUAGAGAUUAAGUAAGGGACAUGAUAAUAACUUAAAUAAACUUGUUACAUACAAAUAAUCAACCAAAGAUGUUAGAUGAUUUUUAGCAUGCAUACAUAUGAAUGCUUAUUUCUGCUUAUAAAUUUAUAUCAAGUUAUACAUACUCAAAAAGAUGGAAAAGUUUUUUUUCCCAGAAGUUUGACUCACCAUAAUCCAUAUUCCUUUUUCAUCUGCUGUGAAAAAUCAUUGGGUCGCAAUCAAAUCCCACACCAAUAACCAUUCUCUCAAAUAUUAGCAGAACCUAAUUGCACACUCGCGCAAUACAUAAAGAAAUUGAGUUACAUAAUUGAGAUUGGAUGCUGACCCACAUCACGAAGAGGAAAAUCAAGGAAUGCACGCUACACACUUUUAAGUGAAAACUCCUAGAAAGUUGGGGGGGAAACAAAGGUUGGACUCAAAAUCAGAAAUUAAAUGGACGCUACACACAAAUGCAAAACUUAUAAAGAAAUUAAACCCAAUUGGAGAAGUGAGAACAACUAAGCAAUAAAAGAAAUUUUCUUUCUUUAAAAAAAAAAAUAUACAUACAAUCCAAAAUUCCUAUUUCACAAUUAAAUCACUGCACAAUAAGAAAUCGGC
rnacentral:lncRNA from 1 species